rfam:Microcoleus chthonoplastes PCC 7420 scf_1103659003781 genomic scaffold, whole genome shotgun sequence.
UAAUUUCAUUGGCUUGUACCAAAGACAGCAGGUGUUCAUCACUUAAUAUCCUGCCGAGGUCAACGCCCGACGUAUCCCCUGUUGCUGUACAUCAAAAUUAAAGUACAGGUAUAAAAGAUACUCAGCGUAACCCCGGCAUGUCCGGGGUUUCGUUAUGGCUAA